UGGCUCAGGAUGAACGCUAGCGGCAGGCCUAACACAUGCAAGUCGAACGGCAGCGGCACCUUCGGGUGGCCGGCGAGUGGCGCACGGGUGCGUAACGCGUAUGCAACCUACCUUCAACAGGGGGAUAGCCCAGGGAAACUUGGAUUAAUGCCCCAUGGAAACCUGGAUCCACCUGGAUCCAUUAUUAAAGCUUCGGCGGUAAAAGAUGGCUAUGCGUCCUAUUAGCUAGAUGGUGUGGUAACGGCACACCAUGGCAACGAUAGGUAGGGGCCCUGAGAGGGGGAUCCCCCACGCUGGCACUGAGACACGGACCAGACUCCUACGGGAGGCAGCAGUGAGGAAUAUUGGACAAUGGGGGCAACCCUGAUCCAGCCAUGCCGCGUGCAGGAAGACUGCCCUAUGGGUUGUAAACUGCUUUUAUACAGGAAGAAACACUCCCUCGUGAGGGAGCUUGACGGUACUGUAAGAAUAAGGAUCGGCUAACUCCGUGCCAGCAGCCGCGGUAAUACGGAGGAUCCAAGCGUUAUCCGGAAUCAUUGGGUUUAAAGGGUCCGUAGGUGGAUAAUUAAGUCAGGGGUGAAAGUCUGCAGCUCAACUGUAGAAUUGCCUUUGAUACUGGUUAUCUUGAGUUAUUAUGAAGUAGUUAGAAUAUGUAGUGUAGCGGUGAAAUGCAUAGAUAUUACAUAGAAUACCAAUUGCGAAGGCAGAUUACUAAUAAUAUACUGACACUGAUGGACGAAAGCGUGGGGAGCGAACAGGAUUAGAUACCCUGGUAGUCCACGCCGUAAACGAUGGAUACUAGCUGUUCGAUCUUCGGAUUGAGUGGCUAAGCGAAAGUGAUAAGUAUCCCACCUGGGGAGUACGUUCGCAAGAAUGAAACUCAAAGGAAUUGACGGGGGCCCGCACAAGCGGUGGAGCAUGUGGUUUAAUUCGAUAAUACGCGAGGAACCUUACCAGGGCUUAAAUGUAGAUUGACAGGGCUAGAGAUAGCUUUUCCUUCGGGCAAUUUACAAGGUGCUGCAUGGUUGUCGUCAGCUCGUGCCGUGAGGUGUCAGGUUAAGUCCUAUAACGAGCGCAACCCCUGCCGUUAGUUGCCAGCAUGUAAAGAUGGGGACUCUAACGGGACUGCCGGUGCAAACCGCGAGGAAGGUGGGGAUGACGUCAAAUCAUCACGGCCCUUACGUCCUGGGCCACACACGUGCUACAAUGGUAGGUACAGAGAGCAGCCACUGCGUAAGCAGGCGCGAAUCUUCAAAGCCUAUCUCAGUUCGGAUCGGAGUCUGCAACUCGACUCCGUGAAGCUGGAAUCGCUAGUAAUCGGAUAUCAGCCAUGAUCCGGUGAAUACGUUCCCGGGCCUUGUACACACCGCCCGUCAAGCCAUGGAAGCCGGGAGUGCCUGAAGUCCGUCACCGCAAGGAGCAGCCUAGGGCAAGAUCGGUAACUAGGGCUAAGUCGUA
rnacentral:rRNA from 1 species